CAGUCGCCGCGGUAAUACGAAGGGGGCUAGCGUUGUUCGGAAUUACUGGGCGUAAAGCGCACGUAGGCGGAUAUUUAAGUCAGGGGUGAAAUCCCCGAGCUCAACUCUGGAACUGCCUUUGAUACUGGGUAUCUUGAGUAUGGAAGAGGUGAGUGGAAUUCCGAGUGUAGAGGUGAAAUUCGUAGAUAUUCGGAGGAACACCAGUGGCGAAGGCGGCUCACUGGUCCAUUACUGACGCUGAGGUGCGAAAGCGUGGGGAGCAAACAGGAUUAGAUACCCGUGUAGUCCCUGUCUCUUAUAC
rnacentral:rRNA from 1 species